rnacentral:rRNA from 1 species
UCGCAUGAACACUAUAGCAAAGAUUUAUCGGCUAUAGGAUGGACCCGCGUUGGAUUAGCUAGUUGGUGAGAUAACAGCCCACCAAGGCAACGAUCCAUAGCCGGCCUGAGAGGGUGAACGGCCACAUUGGGACUGAGACACGGCCCAAACUCCUACGGGAGGCAGCAGUGGGGAAUAUUGCACAAUGGGCGCAAGCCUGAUGCAGCGACGCCGCGUGAAGGAUGAAUGUCUUCGGAUUGUAAACUUCUAUCAGCAGGGAAGAAAAUGACGGUACCCAAGGAGGAAGCCACGGCUAACUACGUGCCAGCAGCCGCGGUAAUACGUAGGUGGCAAGCGUUGUCCGGAUUUACUGGGCGUAAAGGGAGCGUAGGUGGAUAUUUAAGUGGGAUGUGAAAUCCCCGGGCUUAACCUGGGGGCUGCAUUCCAAACUGGAUGUCUAGAGUGCAGGAGAGGAGAGUGGAAUUCCUAGUGUAGCGGUGAAAUGCGUAGAGAUUAGGAAGAACACCAGUGGCGAAGGCGACUCUCUGGACUGUAACUGACACUGAGGCUCGAAAGCGUGGGGAGCAAACAGGAUUAGAUACCCUGGUAGUCCACGCCGUAAACGAUGGGUACUAGGUGUAGGGGUUUCGAACCUCUGUGCCGCCGUUAACACAAUAAGUACCCCGCCUGGGGAGUACGGUCGCAAGAUUAAA